rnacentral:lncRNA from 1 species
UUUCGUUACGUUCCCGCCAAAUGUAAUAUAUAGUAACUUGUAAUGCUAGCCUCAGGAGAAUAGAAACAAGCCUGUCAUGUGCUAAGUGGAGAAUGCGAGCCAAAAUUUCAUUCCAGUCAGGUGAUGGCGCCGGUCGGAGUAAAGAUCCAAUAAUCUGAACCCAUAAGCCAUAUGUAUAUGGGCAAGCAAAAAAACAAAUGGUCUCUUGAUUCCUCCGGUUCUCCGCAGAAAGUGCAGCCCUGUAUUACUCUCCAAGUUCGCAUUCUGGAGCCAGUAUUGAGUCGAUCUUUAACAGCUAACCAUGUUAUAAAAGCAUAUCGCGGCACCCCGUGUUUAAACCAAAUC